rnacentral:rRNA from 1 species
UUCCGGUUGAUCCUGCCGGACCCGACUGCUAUCAGAGUGGGACUAAGCCAUGCGAGUCAACAUAGCAAUAUGUGGCAUACGGCUCAGUAACACGUAGUCAACAUGCCCAGGGGACGUGGAUAACCUCGGGAAACUGAGGAUAAACCGCGAUAAGUCACUGCUUCUGGAAUGGGCAAUGACUUAAAUCUAUAUGGCCCCUGGAUUGGACUGCGGCCGAUCAGGCUGUUGGCGAGGUAAUGGCCCACCAAACCUGUAACCGGUACGGGCUCUGAGAGGAGGAGCCCGGAGAUGGGCACUGAGACAAGGGCCCAGGCCCUAUGGGGCGCAGCAGGCGCGAAACCUCUGCAAUAGGCGAAAGCCUGACAGGGUUACUCUGAGUGAUUUCCGUUAAGGAGAUCUUUUGGCACCUCUAAAAAUGGUGCAGAAUAAGGGGUGGGCAAGUCUGGUGUCAGCCGCCGCGGUAAUACCAGCACCCCGAGUGGUCGGGACGUUUAUUGGGCCUAAAGCAUCCGUAGCCGGUUCUGCAAGUCUUCCGUUAAAUCCACCUGCUUAACAGAUGGGCUGCGGAAGAUACUAUAGAGCUAGGAGGCGGGAGAGGCAAGCGGUACUCGAUGGGUAGGGGUAAAAUCCGUUGAUCCAUUGAAGACCACCAGUGGCGAAGGCGGCUUGCCAGAACGCGCUCGACGGUGAGGGAUGAAAGCUGGGGGAGCAAACCGGAUUAGAUACCCGGGUAGUCCCAG